CCAUAUGUCAGCGUUCACGCUACCGAAGAAGCGCAUUUCGAGGUGUUAUCAUAGUUUGUUAACGGCAACUCGUUAAUGCUAAAGUCGGAAUGGGUAAAUUAAAUUAAAAAGUAAAUUAAUGUUGCAUUUAAUUAUCGGUUUACAUUGCGUCAUGUAGUUCCCCCCCCCCCCCCCCCGAUUGAGGAGGCGCUGCAGUUAAGCGAGUAAGCGGUGUCAUCACUUCCGACUGCGGUGCAGCGCCUUGCGGUUCCCAAGCCAAAGGAAUUUAAAAUUAUUUAGUAAACAUGCCGAACCUUCCGUGCGGACAAUGCAUUGUAGUGGUCGAAAGCACAGAGAAAUCAAUUAUUAGCGGAAAUGGAUGAAGGAGCAAGCACAGAGCCUAAUAGAUAAAACAGCUGCUGCCUUCCAGCGACGGAAGAUCCCAGCCACACCGUUCCCCGGUGCGGCGCCUCCGGGUGGAGCCCUCCUCUAAAUAUCACUCCCAGCAUACGCCCACACCUUGGGUGGCCCUAUGCAGAUAAUGCCUGCCCCCCCAUGAUGCGGACCCCAGCUCAGCCCAUGAUGGGGCCCCUUUGACCUGGCAUGGCCCGGCCUGACCAGUAGAUCUGUUCCAGCUCUGGCAGUCCCCGUUCCUCCCCCUCCCCCCACGAUUGGGACACCAUGCAAGUGAAGACGUGAAGCUCAGCGUGCUAUCAGCCCCCCCAAAUACCACACAGACUGUCAAAUCCCAGCACCUGUUCACUUAAACCAGGGGGAUAUCUGUGCCGGACCUAAUGUAGCUAAAGUCUUCAAGCUAUCUGAAUAAAGUAUUUUGUAAUGCCACCUGGAUCUAACGAUGCAUAGGUUAGCCGGAGGUGUUCUUCUUUCUUCCCUGAUAUUUGAAUUGAUGCCCUUUAUUCCUGUUUGUAGUUACAAAACCUGCUCCUUUUUCGUUUCGUACUGGACUGUAAAUGCAGAGACGCACAUGAACCUUUUGGAUAAUGUUUUGUGGUUUAGCCUUUUAAAGCUACUUUAUAGUUUUAACUUAUUUGAGAGAUUAAAAAAAGCAAAAACUGAAUUUGGUUGUGUGCCAUUUAAUUAUCUUGUCAAAAUAAACAUAUGCAUUUUUAA